GCCGCCGCGGUAAAACGUAGGGGACAAGCGUUAUCCGGAUUCACUGGGCGUAAAGAGCGUUGAGGCGGUUCCGUAAGUUGGGCGUGAAAGCUCCGGGCUUAACUCGGAGAUGUCGUUCAAUACUGCGGGGCUUGAGGACAGCAGAGGAAGGUGGAAUUCCCGGUGUAGUGGUGAAAUGCGUAGAUAUCGGGAGGAACACCCGUGGCGAAGGCGGCCUUCUGGGCUGUUCCUGACGCUGAAGGCGAAAGCUAGGGGAGCGAACGGGAUUAGAUACCCCGGUAGUCCUAGCUGUAAACGAUGAAUGCUGGGUGUGGGGGGUGUAAAUUCCCUCUGUGCCGAAGCAAACGCGUUAAGCAUCCCGCCUGGGGACUACGGCCGCAAGGCUAAAACUCAAACGAAUUGACGGGGGCCCGCACAAGCAGCGGAGCGUGUGGUUUAAUUCGAUGCUACACGAAGAACCUUACCUGGGUUUGACAUGCACGUGGUAGGGAACCGAAAGGGGACCGACCUUCGGGAGCGUGCACAGGUGCUGCAUGGCUGUCGUCAGCUCGUGCCGUGAGGUGUCGGGUUAAGUCCCGUAACGAGCGCAACCCUUGCCCUUAGUUACAAGUGUCUAAGGGGACUGCCCGGGACAACUGGGAGGAAGGUGGGGAUGACGUCAAGUCAGCAUGGCCUUUAUAUCCAGGGCUACACACACGCUACAAUGGCCGGUACAAUAGGUUGCGAAGUCGUGAGGCGGAGCCAAUCCUCAAAGCCGGUCUCAGUUCGAAUUGCAGUCUGCAACUCGACUGCAUGAAGCUGGAGUUGCUAGUAAUCGCAGGUCAGCUAUACUGCGGUGAAUAC
rnacentral:rRNA from 1 species